rnacentral:rRNA from 1 species
UUACCGCGGCUGCUGGCACAGAGUUAGCCGAGGCUUCCUCCGGGUCGACUCAGCUCGGAGAGAUGUUAGCUCCCCUUGCGUGUUGGACCCUGACAGCAGUUUACACCCCGAAGGGCUUCCUCCUGCACGCGGCGUCGCUGGGUCAGGCUUGCGCCCAUUGCCCAAUAUUCGUUACUGCAGCCACCCGUAGGUGUCCGGGCAGUGUCUCAGUCCCGAUGAGGCGGGUCAUGCUCUCACACCCGCUACCCGUCGCAGGCUUGGUGGGCCGUUACCUCACCAACUACCUGAUAGGACAUAGGCCGCUCCAAGACCGACAGGCCCGAAGGUCCCCGCCGUUUGAUCGAAAGGCCAUGCGACCUCGCGAUAUCAUCGGGUAUUAGCCGCACUUUCGCAAAGGGUUGCCCCGCGGUUGUCCCCGUGUCCUGGGUACGUUACCUAUGAAUUACUCUCCCGUCCGCCACUGAACACAAUAUUGCUACCGUGUCCCGUACGACUUGCAUGUCUUAGCCACGCCGCCAGCGUUCGUUCUGAGCCAGGAUCAAACUC